GAUGAACGCUGGCGGCGUGCCUAAUACAUGCAAGUCGAGCGAACGGACGAGAAGCUUGCUUCUCUGAUGUUAGCGGCGGACGGGUGAGUAACACGUGGAUAACCGACCUAUAAGACUGGGAUAACUUCGGGAAACCGGAGCUAAUACCGAAUAAUAUUUUGAACCGCAUGGUUCAAAAGUCAAAGAUGGUCUUGCUGUCUCUUAUAGAUGGAUCCGCGCUGCAUUAGCUAGUUGGUAAGGUAACGGCUUACCAAGGCAACGAUGCAUAGCCGACCUGAGAGGGUGAUCAGCCACACUGGAACUGAGACACGGUCCAGACUCCUACGGGAGGCAGCAGUAGGGAAUCUUGCGCAAUGGGCGCAAGCCUGAUGGAGCCACGCCGCGUGAGUGAUGAAGGUCUUCGGAUCGUAAAACUCUGUUAUUAGGGAAGAACAUAUGUGUAAGAAACUGUGCACAUCUUGACGGUACCCACUGAGAAAGCCACGGCUAACUCCGUG
rnacentral:rRNA from 1 species